CUAAAAAAGAGAGCAUCUGCUCCCUAAACCCAUUGUUUAUCUACCUAUUGUACUGCUUCGGCAGGCGGCCCCCGGGGGGGCGACUACCUGCAAAGGCGCCUGCCGACGGCAACCCAGAACUCUUUUACUGUCAGUUGUCUUUCUGAGCAAUAAUACAAACCUAAACA
rnacentral:misc_RNA from 1 species